UCCUGUUGGGAACCAAGCAGGCGUUCCCUGUGUCCCGGGUUCCUGGGCUCCGGACUGGGGGGUGUCAGGCCCCCAGGGGAGCUUCUCAGAGCACCCUAGGCUGAGGGACCCGCCCUGACCUCGUUCAACUACAGCCGUGCCUCCCCAGACACAGUGACUCGGGGUCUGCGUUCACUGGAGGCGGGGAGUAGGGAGAGGGCGUGGGGGAGGAGGUCACUGAGUCUCGGCCACCUUCCAUGAGGCAGCAAGAGCUAAAGGAGACAGGGGGCGCUGGGCGGGGGCAUGGAGGCGGGAAGUCACCCCCUUGGGCAGCAAAGGCAGCUCCUGGGGCCCCUUCAGUGCCCCCAGGACAGUGAGCAGGAGGGAGAGUGGCCGGAGGGACCCCGCCAAGAAGGGGCCUAAAUUCAGGGCACGCGCAGGGGCCUCUGCAGGCAGCGCUCACUCCGCGGGGUCAGGAGGGGCAGGGUUCUCUGCAUCCGGGGAGGCCCCUGAAGGUGCACAAACAGGAGGGCAGGCCUCCUGGCCGUGGAGGUGCCAUCCCUGGGGCAGGAGGACAGGUUGAGAAAGGACCCGGCCGGGUUGAGGCCACGGAGGGACCAGACGUUGACCCACUGCAGCUCACACCAGAGACAUGCUCGGAGCACUUUGUUGAACAGGAGUUCACUUCCGGGUCAAGGGGAGGAGUUCACUUCCGGGUCAAGGGGAGGCACUGACGCUGUUUCCACAGGGGUGAGUGGAGGGACACCGGCAAAGCCCCUAACUGUUACCCAAAGACUCUCUUCGAAGACCUGGAACAAUGGUGAACAUGUACGCGACUCUGCUCCCCACCAUCUGGGGAAGAAAAGAAACGCCUGGAACCAACCAGCCCUGGAUUACAGCCAUCACCACGAAAGCUUGUUCACACGAUUUGCAAUCCCGAUGGUAGGAAAAGCCCCUUCACUCUGCUCCGGGGAAGAAAAAUC